AUCUUUUCCAACCCAGUUGAUUCUGUGAUUCUGUGGAAAAAAGCUCAAAGAUUUGACAGAAAUACUAUUAAGGAUUUGGGUAUUCCUUUGUAAAACAGCUUCAAGAAACAGCAAUGUCCAGUGAUAUGAAACUUUCAUGAAUGGUUUCAGAAAGCCUAAAAAAUGUGUGACCUACCUCUCCCCUCUGUUGUUUCUCAAGACUGGACAUUGCUCCAAAGACCAGAGCAGAAGUAGGCAUGACUUACUCAUCAAGCUUUUGAUAUGCAUGGCAGUCAGAAUGAAGAGAGAUGCUCCCUUCUUAGUUCUGCUGGAGUACCUGUGGUUUGGACUUCAAUCACUGCUUACAGCAGUGAAACAAAGCAAAUUGCAAGCAUUAAUGGAUCUGGAUGCUGCCAUUUAUUUAUGAACCAGUAGGACUGAAUCUUUUACCCUGAUUGUUUGUCCCACACACUGAUUCCCUUGCUUUACCCUGGGCUUUAUUCUGAGGUCUCAAGUUCCCUUCCCUGCAGGGAGGUCAAUCCAGGAAGGAUGGGCAGAAAGUCAUGCCACUUCAUGCUAUCUACUGCUCAGUCACCAGUUUUGGGUGUUAGUGGGCAAGGUCUCUGAGUGCUCAAUUGGCAUGGAUUUCCACCCAAUAAUCUGAACUCCAGGAUCCAGCACCUUCAUCUUUCCAAGACUGCUUCCUCUUUUUGGGAACCCUUCUUUUUCACACCUGCUCUUCUUUCCAGAAUUCAAACCCUCCGUUUCCUGAUCAAAACAGUCCCUGUGCAGAAGCACAAUGUGUGACCAGACUCCUGGUUGGCAGUUCUCACCUCUUAAUCAACUGGCAGACUGGAAUCAUGUCACUUUUCUUUCAUUCACAUGCUAUGUAUGUGCAUUCACCUACAUAUAUGCAAUAAUUUGUUAGCUAGCUGUCAGCAUUACUAACUUAAACUUUUUUCACCUUAAAACACCUCCUAAUGACAAUGAUCUUUACAUGCUAUUGUUUGAUGCUGCCAUUCAGUUCAGGACCUAUUUCCUUAUAAAGACCAGGGUCAACCACAGAUGCUUAUUGACAAUAAAUUGAGAAGUCAAAGGGA